CGACGCCGCGUGAGGGACGACGGCCCCCGGGUUGUAAACCUCUUUCAGCACAGACGAAGCGCAAGUGACGGUAUGUGCAGAAGAAGGACCGGCCAACAACGUGCCAGCAGCCGCGGUAAUACGUAGGGUCCGAGCGUUGUCCGGAAUUACUGGGCGUAAAGAGCUCGUAGGUGGUUUGUCGCGUUGUUCGUGAAAACUCACAGCUCAACUGUGGGCGUGCGGGCGAUACGGGCAGACUAGAGUACUGCAGGGGAGACUGGAAUUCCUGGUGUAGCGGUGGAAUGCGCAGAUAUCAGGAGGAACACCGGUGGCGAAGGCGGGUCUCUGGGCAGUAACUGACGCUGAGGAGCGAAAGCGUGGGGAGCGAACAGGAAUAGAUACCCUGGUAGUCCACGCCGUAAACGGUGGGUACUAGGUGUGGGUUUCCUUCCUUGGGAUCCGUGCCGUAGCUAACGCAUUAAGUACCCCGCCUGGGGAGUACGGCCGCAAGGCUAAAACUCAAAGAAAUUGACGGGGGCCCGCACAAGCGGCGGAGCACGUGGAUUAAUUCGAUGCAACGCGAAGAACCUUACCUGGGUUUGACAUGCACAGGACGUGCCUAGAGAUAGGUAUUCCCUUGUG
rnacentral:rRNA from 1 species